CUGAGUUAGCUACAAACUCAAUCCAUACUCCAAACAGCAGAUUUAAGAUGCUCAAUACUGGAAUUAUUUGGCAUCAACUUAAAAAGAAAC
rfam:Pteropus alecto contig27957, whole genome shotgun sequence.